rnacentral:ncRNA from 2 species
ACACGUAUGCAGGGGAGUCUCACCUAGGAGACUGAGAGGCUGACAGAGCGCAAGCUCGGCGACGCGACCCUUUGAACCUGACCCAGUUGAUACUGGCGUAGGAAGCACGGGUCGCGCGGCC